rnacentral:rRNA from 1 species
CAGCAGCCACGGUAAUACGAAGGGUGCAAGCGUUAAUCGGAAUUACUGGGCGUAAAGCGUGCGUAGGCGGUGAGUUAAGUCUGCUGUGAAAUCCCCGGGCUCAACCUGGGAAUGGCAGUGGAUACUGGCUCGCUAGAGUGUGUCAGAGGAUGGUGGAAUUCCCGGUGUAGCGGUGAAGUGCGUAGAGAUCGGGAGGAACAUCAGUGGCGAAGGCGGCCAUCUGGGACAACACUGACGCUGAGGCACGAAAGCGUGGGGAGCAAACAGGAUUAGAUACCCGUGUAGUCCCUGUCUCUUAUAC